rnacentral:rRNA from 1 species
UUCGCCCUUAGAGUUUGAUCCUGGCUCAGGACGAACGCUGGCGGCGUGCCUAAUACAUGCAAGUCGAGCGGACAGAAGGGAGCUUGCUCCCGGAUGUUAGCGGCGGACGGGUGAGUAACACGUGGGUAACCUGCCUGUAAGACUGGGAUAACUCCGGGAAACCGGAGCUAAUACCGGAUAGUUCCUUGAACCGCAUGGUUCAAGGAUGAAAGACGGUUUCGGCUGUCACUUACAGAUGGACCCGCGGCGCAUUAGCUAGUUGGUGAGGUAACGGCUCACCAAGGCGACGAUGCGUAGCCGACCUGAGAGGGUGAUCGGCCACACUGGGACUGAGACACGGCCCAGACUCCUACGGGAGGCAGCAGUAGGGAAUCUUCCGCAAUGGACGAAAGUCUGACGGAGCAACGCCGCGUGAGUGAUGAAGGUUUUCGGAUCGUAAAGCUCUGUUGUUAGGGAAGAACAAGUGCAAGAGUAACUACUUGCACCUUGACGGUACCUAACCAGAAAGCCACGGCUAACUACGUGCCAGCAGCCGCGGUAAUACGUAGGUGGCAAGCGUUGUCCGGAAUUAUUGGGCGUAAAGGGCUCGCAGGCGG